AUGUUCUCUGCCGCCACCUCUCCCCGCGGCCGCUGCCGCUCCUCGAUGACGGCCCGUCCGCCUUCAUCCUCCGGCCACGCGGCAAGAUCGGGUACACACACCUCACUCUCGUCGCCACCAACCCUGGCACCAGCUUCCCCGUCAGAUUCCCCGUCCUUGAUAGGUACAAGGAUCGACGUCCUUCGCCACGGCAAAUCGUCCGAGUUCCACGGCCAGAUCCGACACCCGCCCUCCUCGAUAAGGGCACCGACCGAAAAAUCAGUUUUCUGCCUUCUCUUCUCCACCGGUGCCGACGACGAAGACGACGCUCCUUAUGUGUCUGAGUCUGAGUCCGAGGACGGGUCCACUGAAGCAGAACUGCCGGUGGUCGGUAGCUUGUUUGAUGGCUCUUACUCUGAGGACGCCGCCGCUGAACAGGAGGCUCGGGUCGUCGACCCUACCACCACAGUGAUGGAUGUCGCUGAGCCGGACGUUGUUCCCUCGCAGCAUCCCGGCUCGCCACCGACAUGA
rnacentral:rRNA from 1 species